GUCCAGACCCGGUCAUCCCUCAUAGAAAAGUAAAGUCUGGAGCGAAACAUCACUAUGUUGUUGGCGAUAAUGUUACAAUUGAAUGUUCUACAUUAUACACUGUGCAUGGUGAACCGAAUAUUCGGUGCACUGAUGAAUUUCAGUGGAAGCCUGCAAUUCCAGAAUGUAGACUAAGUUUGUACAUCAAAAUUAUUAUUGGAGUAAUUGUAAUCGCUGCGAUACUGGUGGUGGCUAUUUGCAUCUAUAAGAGAUAUUUUUCACAAAAAGGCUCAUACCAAACCGAUGAAAACUGCAAAGAAGCAUGCAUUUUAAAUACUAAAGUACCAGAUGAAAGUGAAGCAUCUGCAUUAAAGAAUUAAUUGAAACAUAAAAGGAAAGAUGUCUCCACUUCACCUACUGCUCAAUACACCUCAUGUAAAACCUGAUUGGUGGGGAAGGGGCAGUGGUGAAAGAAUGAAGCGAAAGGACUGCAUUUGCACUAUAUUUCUGUAGUGGAAUAUUUAGCCCCUACUUUCACCGGAAUUGAAGAUGCUUUCAUCUAGAUUUUCUUCUCCUUUUGUGAUUGACUGCUAUAGGCAUCUACUGCAUCUUUACCAAGGCAGAAAGCCAGAACAUAUACCAAUGCCAUCCCUUUUAGCUCACUUGUCUGUGUGCGAAAUUAACUUAUAAAAAGCUUCGUGUGUCUCACAGCAGCCUUGCAGCAUCCUCCUGCGUCCAGAAGAGACUAUGCAAUGAGAGAGUGCUUGGUAGGUUCUUCAUACGAUUUAUAUCGCAUGAGUGGCCAUAUUGUUUAAAUUAUCUAAGUACCUCUAUUUUAGGAAGGUGACUGUGCCUAUUGAGAGAGAUGGUGCUUAAGUUAUGAAAAUUAACUUAAGUUUUGCACAUUAGUUUUCAUAUUUCUUACUUGCAAAUAACGGGAAUAAACUUCUCUUGCUGUCCACUGCUUUUGGAUAUACUGUGCAUCUAAAUCAGGUUUUUGUGUAACCUUCCUGUUAAGGCAAUUACUUGGUCUUGGUGUGCAACACGGGGGAGCCUGGGUAGUAAUUCUGUCCCAGUUAAGACUGCAAAGGACCUCCUUGAAUGGGGAAUCAAAAGCAUGACCACAUCAGAAACAUCCUGUUGCCACUCAGAUUUGCUAGAUAAUGAAGGUUUCCCACUGGAAGUGAUGGAAGAUACUUGAUUGGACAAAGUGCUGGCAAAUACACUCUUUUUAAUUGCAAUAUAAAUACAAUCUUGAGGUGGAAGUUGAAUGAGGAAACACUUUUUUUCCUUGCUGAAGGACCAGCCAAUACUUGUCAGCUGAAACAGCCCCAAAAAAAAUUACAUUAGGGAUCUUGGAUGGGAGGUUUCCGACUGGAAUUGAGUUCUUGGUGCAUCUCUGAAAUCAUAUACUUAAAUCUGUUUUUCUUCCCAGAGACUUGGCUGCUGAGUUCAAUCCAAGCUUUAUGACUUGAAAUGUAUAAUAUUAUGAAAAUUGUCAUGAUCUAUCUCAUAGCAACAUGUGCCUAAGCUAAUAAACCACCUCUUACCACAGACCAUGUAGGCAGUUCUGUUAUAGGUUCACUUUCCCACAGAAGGAAGUGGGUGCAAUUUAAUUUUUUUAUUUCAGAUGUUCAUUGCUCUGUGUGAUAUGGAUGUAUAUAUUUGUAUUAGUACUUUAUUACUGUGUUUGAAUAAAUAAGAUCUCAUCGCACUGUCUAACAUUUCUGAUAAAAAAAAUGUUAGCUAGACUGUGGGGCAUGCUUAACAAGGAAGGGCUAGAUUCACAAACUUUUUGGGGCCAAGAAAAUCACUGGAAUUCACAAAGUCUAGGCAGGCUGUGCAAUGAAUGGGAAGAGUCAGAAACCAGCAUGUUUAAGAUGCUCCUUGUAUAAGGUAGCCAGUAGGUGGUACACAGCCAAGAGGUAGGUGCUAAGCUCUACCCCUCUCUGAGAUUGGCACCUCUGUGCUGUGAAUCCUGUGGGGUGAAGUACCUACACUGUUUUUGCAGGAAGCGGGGGGAGGGGGCAGGGUUGCUCAAGCUUGCAGGCACUCACUCAGCAUUUAUCCAUCAUGCAACAGCUUCUACGUUGAUCCAGCAAGAAGGAGCAAGCAAGUAUGAGUGACUCAGUAACCGAAUGAUUAGAGCAUGCACCUAGGAGCUGGACAUGUGCUCCAGUGACUUUUUUUAAAAUGAUUCGCAGUGGAACAGUUUCAACUGGAUAUACUGAAAGAAUCCUACAGCAGCCUAGGGCACUCACUGAGCAAUGGCAGAACCCUGUUCAAAUCCCUUCUCUCCCUCAGGUGGAGAGGGGACUUGAACCAUGGGUCUCCCAGGUGAGUUUCCUUCUAACUUUUAGCCCAGUGAAUAGGGUAAUCUGUGCCCUCUGGUCAUUUUGUGUAAGCUCAUCUCUAGGGGCUUGAUCUAGCAGGCAAGGUGUGAGCAUGCUUACCAGAUAGGACCCCACAGAUGAGCGAGAGGACCAUCUACCUUUUCCUGGUUUAUGCACUCUUCUGGGGCUUCAGCUUUAGUUGCCCUACAUCCUUUUGUGAAUCUAACCCAAAAUGUCAACUACUAGUCUUUUUGCUUAUCAAAAUAGCUUUAACAGCUAGGACCCUGCUCCUGCAAAGACUUACUGUGAAUAGUCCCACUAUAUAUGUACAAGAAAACAUUGUUAUAGACUAGGGGUCUAGUGGGGUGGAAUUGCUUUCUAAGUACAGGGUAUAUUAGAAAUGCCUAUAUCAAUCAUUGGACUGUUUUAUAGUGCCUUUCACUGUUAAGGGGGCAGGGGAGAGCUAUUUAAAAUGCUAGUGUGAUUUUAACCAUCUUCCUUAUUUAGUACUAUUCAGUUUAUGAACACAAGGAUUUGUCUUAAUGUAAAGUCUAGUAUCCACUUGUAUUAUUACUAAUAAAGAAAAGUGAUUUUUUUUAA